rnacentral:rRNA from 1 species
UACAGAGGGUGCAAGCGUUGUUCGGAAUUAUUGGGCGUAAAGGGCGCGUAGGCGGUUUGGCAAGUCGGGUGUGAAAACUCCGGCUCAACUCGGAGACGCCACUCGAUACUGCUAUGACUCGAGUCCGGUAGGGGAGUGCGGAAUUCCUGGUGUAGCGGUGAAAUGCGCAGAUAUCAGGAGGAACACCGGUGGCGAAGGCGGCACUCUGGGCCGGUACUGACGCUGAGGAGCGAAAGCGUGGGGAGCGAACAGG